UACGGAGGAUGCGAGCGUUAUCCGGAUUUAUUGGGUUUAAAGGGUGCGUAGGCGGACUGUCAAGUCAGCGGUAAAAUUGAGAGGCUCAACCUCUUCCCGCCGUUGAAACUGGUGGUCUUGAGUGGAUGAGAAGUACGCGGAAUGCGUGGUGUAGCGGUGAAAUGCAUAGAUAUCACGCAGAACUCCAAUUGCGAAGGCAGCGUACCGGCAUCCAACUGACGCUGAGGCACGAAAGCGUGGGGAUCAAACAGG
rnacentral:rRNA from 1 species